UAGGGAAUCUUCCGCAAUGGGCGAAAGCCUGACGGAGCAACGCCGCGUGAGUGAUGAAGGUCUUCGGAUCGUAAAACUCUGUUAUUAGGGAAGAACAAAUGUGUAAGUAACUAUGCACGUCUUGACGGUACCUAAUCAGAAAGCCACGGCUAACUACGUGCCAGCAGCCGCGGUAAUACGUAGGUGGCAAGCGUUAUCCGGAAUUAUUGGGCGUAAAGCGCGCGUAGGCGGGUUUUUAAGUCUGAUGUGAAAGCCCACGGCUCAACCGUGGAGGGUCAUUGGAAACUGGAAAACUUGAGUGCAGAAGAGGAAAGUGGAAUUCCAUGUGUAGCGGUGAAAUGCGCAGGGAUAUGGAGGAACGCCAGUGGCGAAGGCGACUUUCUGGUCUGUAACUGACGCUGAUGUGCGAAAGCGUGGGGAUCAAACAGG
rnacentral:rRNA from 1 species